AUUGAACGCUGGCGGCAGGCCUAACACAUGCAAGUCGAGCGGAUGAAGGGAGCUUGCUCCUGGAUUCAGCGGCGGACGCGUGAGUAAUGCCUAGGAAUCUGCCUGGUAGUGGGGGAUAACGUCCGGAAACGGGCGCUAAUACCGCAUACGUCCUGAGGGAGAAAGUGGGGGAUCUUCGGACCUCACGCUAUCAGAUGAGCCUAGGUCGGAUUAGCUAGUUGGUGGGGUAAAGGCCUACCAAGGCGACGAUCCGUAACUGGUCUGAGAGGAUGAUCAGUCACACUGGAACUGAGACACGGUCCAGACUCCUACGGGAGGCAGCAGUGGGGAAUAUUGGACAAUGGGCGAAAGCCUGAUCCAGCCAUGCCGCGUGUGUGAAGAAGGUCUUCGGAUUGUAAAGCACUUUAAGUUGGGAGGAAGGGCAGUAAGUUAAUACCUUGCUGUUUUGACGUUACCAACAGAAUAAGCACCGGCUAACUUCGU
rnacentral:rRNA from 1 species